UUAGUUGACUCCGGGGUUCGUAUAGGCAGGGAGCACAGGCGUAAGGCUGAGAUCGGCUUCCCUAGAGCCUUUCAAACUGGAUGGACCUGCACUUGUUGCUUAAAUGUCUUGAGGCCUGUGUUUCCACAUCUGGGAAAUGGGGAAAUUGUGGUGUUUGCUGUGAAGCUUCCUCAUUGGCUGAUGAACUCAUCUGGUGUUCCUAAGACCAACACCUUCAGUCCCAUUUCACAAAGUCCAAAUCACAAAGGAGGAAACUAUUUAUUUGAUGAAUGCUGUAUUGAAGGAGGCUCUUCUUCCCUUUAUACCUCACGAUGGUCCAAAGAAGACCAGAUACAGAAGAAAAAGAUUCAAGGAGAAGGCCUCUGUAAGACACAGUCAAAGUGCUAUUUAAGAGUAAGGAGAUCAGCUGAAUACGUGAGUCUGUCUGUUAUUAACAAUAAGCAUCUGUGGUGUCCCUGCCGGACUGAAAUUUAGAGUUUAUGCUGGAAAUGUCUGCUCAGUUCUGUUAUUCAUGAAGACACACUGGCCAGAGGACCUGGUGACACAACAUGUCACCCUUCCCCUUUCAAGCGGCUUCAAGAGACCUUGUACAUAUCCUUUUUCCAACUUGAGACCCCAUCCUUGCCAUUAGAAUAAACUAGAACACUGUCUGCUAGAGGAUUCAAGUAGCUAUAUGCAACUUUUCCGUGCUAUAUACAUAUGGAUGAGUCCAGCCAAGGAUAAGCCCGUAAUCAAAUGCUCCAUACCAUCUGUUUGAGAGUUUUUUGAGACUGGGAUCACUGUCUGGAACCACAGGCCGCCCUCUGAAGGCUGGAGAGGUGGUGACAGCUGAACAAAUGAUGGCGCUACGAGUCCAUGGGUUAGGUUACCUGGGCAUGGGAAUCCCCAUAUAGCCAAUGCCUUCUCGGGUAUUAAGUGUCAGAUAAACACAGCUCCUCAACUGCUA
rnacentral:lncRNA from 1 species